UGUCCAGUAGCACCUUAGAGACCAACUAAGUUUGUUCUGGGUAUAAGCUUUCAUGUGCAUGCACACUUCCUCAGAUACAUGCACAUGAAAUCUUAUACCCAGAACAAACUUAGUUGGUCUCUAAGGUGCUACUGGACA